GCACAAGCGGUGGAUGAUGUGGUUUAAUUCGAUGCAACGCGAAAAACCUUACCCACCUUUGACAUGGCAGGAAUCCCGAAGAGAUUUGGGAGUGCUCGAAAGAGAACCUGCACACAGGUGCUGCAUGGCUGUCGUCAGCUCGUGUCGUGAGAUGUUGGGUUAAGUCCCGCAACGAGCGCAACCCUUGCCAUUAGUUGCUACGAAAGGGCACUCUAAUGGGACUGCCGGUGACAAACCGGAGGAAGGUGGGGAUGACGUCAAGUCCUCAUGGCCCUUAUAGGUGGGGCUACACACGUCAUACAAUGGCCGGUACAGAGGGUAGCCAACCCGCGAGGGGGAGCCAAUCCCACAAAGCCGGUCGUAGUCCGGAUCGCAGUCUGCAACUCGACUGCGUGAAGUCGGAAUCGCUAGUAAUCGCGGAUCAGCAUGUCGCGGUGAAUACGUUCCCGGGUCUU
rnacentral:rRNA from 1 species